ACUUUGGCAUUGUUUUCCGUGGUGGCCACUCAGACUUUUCAUAUAUUCCGUGCCACCACCACCACCUACUGCCACCC